AAUCUAGGAGGCAGGUGCUCACAUGUCCUCCUCCAUGCUUAUGAAACACAUGGAGGAGGCCAUAGUGGCAACUGUCACCAUGAUU
rfam:Mesocricetus auratus contig158293, whole genome shotgun sequence.